rnacentral:rRNA from 1 species
CGUCGCCGCGGUAAUACGAAGGGUGCAAGCGUUACUCGGAAUUACUGGGCGUAAAGCGUGCGUAGGUGGUGGUUUAAGUCCGUUGUGAAAGCCCUGGGCUCAACCUGGGAAUUGCAGUGGAUACUGGGUCACUAGAGUGUGGUAGAGGAUAGUGGAAUUUCCGGUGUAGCAGUGAAAUGCGUAGAGAUCGGAAGGAACAUCUGUGGCGAAGGCGACUAUCUGGGCCAACACUGACACUGAGGCACGAAAGCGUGGGGAGCAAACAGGAUUAGAUACCCCAGUAGUCCCUGUCUCUUAUACA